rnacentral:rRNA from 1 species
UGGGGAAUCUUCCGCAAUGGACGAAAGUCUGACGGAGCAACGCCGCGUGAACGAAGAAGGUCUUCGGAUUGUAAAGUUCUGUGAUUCGGGACGAAAGGGUUUGUGGUGAAUAAUCAUAGACAUUGACGGUACCGAAAAAGCAAGCCACGGCUAACUACGUGCCAGCAGCCGCGGUAAUACGUAGGUGGCAAGCGUUGUCCGGAAUUAUUGGGCGUAAAGCGCGCGCAGGCGGUUUCUUAAGUCCAUCUUAAAAGCGUGGGGCUCAACCCCAUGAGGGGAUGGAAACUGGGAAGCUGGAGUAUCGGAGAGGAAAGUGGAAUUCCUAGUGUAGCGGUGAAAUGCGUAGAGAUUAGGAAGAACACCGGUGGCGAAGGCGACUUUCUAGACGAAAACUGACGCUGAGGCGCGAAAGCGUGGGGAGCAAACAGGAUUAGAUACCCUGGUAGUCCACGCCGUAAACGAUGGAUACUAGGUGUAGGAGGUAUCGACCCCUCCUGUGCCGGAGUUAACGCAAUAAGUAUCCCGCCUGGGAAGUACGAUCGCGAAGAUUA